rnacentral:misc_RNA from 1 species
GAAAUGCGAUAAGUAAUGUGAAUUGCAGAAUUCAGUGAAUCAUCGAAUCUUUGAACGCACAUUGCGCCCGGCAGUAUUCUGCCGGGCAUGCCUGUCCGAGCGUCAUUUCAACCCUCGGGACCCCGUUUAGGCGGGGACCCGGCGUUGGGGACCGGCCGCCUCGCGGCGCGCCGCCCCCGAAAACCAGUGGCGGGCUCGCUGUCACACCGAGCGUAGUAGCAAUCACCUCGCUCAGGGCGUGCUGCGGGUUCCGGCCGUUAAACAGCCUUACAAAACCCAAGGUUGACCUCGGAUCAGGUAGGAAGACCCGCUGAACUUAAGC